GGGCCCGCACAAGCGGCGGAGCAUGCGGAUUAAUUCGAUGCAACGCGAAGAACCUUACCUGGGUUUGACAUAGGCCGGAAAGCUGCAGAGAUGCAGCCCCCGCAAGGUCGGUUUACAGGUGGUGCAUGGCUGUCGUCAGCUCGUGUCGUGAGAUGUUGGGUUAAGUCCCGCAACGAGCGCAACCCUCGUUCUAUGUUGCCAGCACGUAAUGGUGGGGACUCAUAGGAGACUGCCGGGGUCAACUCGGAGGAAGGUGGGGAUGACGUCAAGUCAUCAUGCCCCUUAAGUCCAGGGCUUCACGCAUGCUACAAUGGCUGGUACAAAGGGCUGCGAUACCGCAAGGUGGAGCGAAUCCCAAAAAGCCAGUCUCAGUUCGGAUUGGGGUCUGCAACUCGACCCCAUGAAGUCGGAGUCGCUAGUAAUCGCAGA
rnacentral:rRNA from 1 species